UGCAAGUCGAACGAAGAUGGCAGCCUCUGGUUGGCAUCUUAGUGGCGGACGGGUGAGUAACGCGUAAGAACUUGCCCCUGGGAGAGGGAUACCAACUGGAAACGGUUGUUAAUACCUCAUAGGCUGAGGAGUAAAAUGGUUAACACCGCCUAGGGAUAGGCUUGCGUCUGAUUAGCUAGUUGGUGGGGCAAAGGCCUACCAAGGCAAUGAUCAGUAGCUGGUCUGAGAGGACAAUCAGCCACACUGGGACUGAGACACGGCCCAGACUCCUACGGGAGGCAGCAGUGAGGAAUUUUCCGCAAUGGGCGAAAGCCUGACGGAGCAAUGCCGCGUGGAGGAUGAAGGCCCGUGGGUUGUAAACUCCUUUUCUUAGAGAAGAAGCCCUGACGGUAUCUAAGGAAUAAGCAUCGGCUAACUCCGUGCCAGCAGCCGCGGUAAUACGGGGGAUGCAAGCGUUAUCCGGAAUCAUUGGGCGUAAAGGGUCCUGAGGUGGUUUGCUAAGUCUACUGUGAAAGAUCAGGGCUCAACCCUGAAGAUGCGGUGGAAACUGGCAGGCUAGAAUACGGUAGGGGCAGGGGGAAUUCCCGGUGUAGCGGUGAAAUGCAUAGAUAUCGGGAAGAACACCAAAGGCGAAGGCACCCUGCUGGGCCGAUAUUGACACUGACAGACGAAAGCUAGGGGAGCGA
rnacentral:rRNA from 1 species